GCACUCUUAGUUCAGUUCAUUAGAACGGGGGUUGCCAAAACCUUAUGUCGUAGGUUCAAAUCCUAGAGAGCGUA
rnacentral:tRNA from 1 species